rnacentral:rRNA from 1 species
GUAGUUAGCCGUGGCUUCCUCCUUAGGUACCGUCAUUAUCGUCCCUAAAGACAGAGCUUUACAAUCCGAAGACCUUCAUCACUCACGCGGCGUUGCUGCAUCAGGGUUUCCCCCAUUGUGCAAUAUUCCCCACUGCUGCCUCCCGUAGGAGUCUGGACCGUGUCUCAGUUCCAAUGUGGCCGAUCAGCCUCUCAGCUCGGCUACCCAUCGUUGGCUAGGUGGGCCGUUACCCCGCCUACUAUCUAAUGGGACGCGAACCCCUCUUAUACCGGAUUGCUCCUUUGACCUCAUCCCGAUGUCGGGUCGUGGUCUUAUGCGGUAUUAGCAACCGUUUCCGGUUGUUAUCCCCCUGUAUAAGGCAGGUUGUUCACGCGUUACUCACCCGUUCGCCACUAAGUUAUCAACCGAAAUCAAUAACUCCGUUCGACUUGCAUGUGUUAGGCACGCCGCCAGCGUUCGUCCUAAGCCAUGAUCAAACUCUGA